AUGUUGGCAAGGGCUGUGGCCGCAGAAGCCCGCGUCUCUUUCUUUGCAUGCAGUGGCAGUGAUUUCGAGGAGGUGUAUGUGGGUCUUGGGGCUAAGAGAGUGCGGGAGCUCUUCCGUGUAGCAAAGAAGCGAUCUCCUUGCAUAAUAUUCAUCGAUGAGAUUGACGCCGUUGCUGGGCGCAGACACGCAAUAGACCCGUCGUGGCAGAGGCAGACCAUGAACCAGCUGCUUUCUGAGAUGGAUGGCUUCAGGCAGAAUGAAGGGAUCAUUGUGAUCGCCGCGACAAACUUCCCAGAGUCGCUAGAUAAAGCCAUUGUCAGGCCUGGGCGUCUUGACCGUCAAAUCCAUGUUCCUAAUCCAGAUGUUGAGGGCCGGCGGCAGAUCCUUGAGGCUUACAUGUCAAAGGUGCGUAAAGCCGAGGGUGUGGAUGCGAUGACCAUUGCGAGGGGGACGCCCGGGUUCUCAGGUGCAGAUCUUGCAAACCUAGUGAAUGACGCCGCUCUCAAGGCUUCCAGGGAUGGGGCAGAUGCUGUUGGGAUGGAUCACCUCGAGUACGCCAAGGACAGGAUCAUCAUGGGCAGCGAACGCAAGUCAGCGGUGAUAUCUGAUCAUUCGAAGAAAAUGACUGCCUACCAUGAGGGAGGGCACACCCUUGUUGCUAUCCUCACGGACGGCGCUGACCCUGUCCACAAGGCCACAAUUAUGCCAAGGCGAAAUGCUCUCGGCAUGGUGACACAACUGCCAAGGGAAGACAGCGAGCUGGAACUCUCGAGGAAGCAGAUGCUGGCAAGGCUGGAUGGGCGGGUGGCCAAGGAGCUUAUAUUUGGAGAAACCGGGAUUACAACUGGUGCCUCAUCUGACCUGAGCAAGGCGACUAAAUUGGCGAAAGACAUGGUCACCAGAUAUGGCAUGAGCAAGCGGGUCGGCCUUGUUUCCUACAGCAACGACGGUGAUGGUGGUGAUGGCAAGACCACGGCCCUGGUUGAUGAGGAGGUGAAAGAUUUAUUGGAUAGCGCUUACAAGAAUGCGAAAAUGAUUCUCACGGAGCAUAACAAGGAGUUUCAUGCGCUAGCAAAUGCCCUCCUGAAGCAUGGAACUCUCACUGGCGACGAGAUCAUGAAACUAGUAUUGACAGAACAACAAGCAGAUGGUCGCAAGGUAACACCUUCUCUCACUGGCGACGAGAUCACGGAACCGGUGUCAACACAAGAACAAAUAGGCGAUGCUAAGAAUGGUCAGCAGUAA
rnacentral:rRNA from 1 species